rnacentral:rRNA from 1 species
UACGAAGGGUGCAAGCGUUACUCGGAAUUACUGGGCGUAAAGCGUGCGCAGGCGGUUGUGCAAGACAGGUGUGAAAUCCCCGGGCUUAACCUGGGAACUGCACUUGUGACUGCACGGCUGGAGUACGGCAGAGGGGGAUGGAAUUCCGCGUGUAGCAGUGAAAUGCGUAGAUAUGCGGAGGAACACCGAUGGCGAAGGCAGUCCCCUGGGCCUGUACUGACGCUCAUGCACGAAAGCGUGGGGAGCAAACAGG